UGAUAGGGUAAUAUCUGAACUGAUCCUUUCAACUUUCUAGUAUUCUGCAAUUUGCCAGGGUUGAUUCGGCUGAUCUGGCUGGCUAGGCGGGUGUCCCCUUCCUCCCUCACAGCUCCAUGUGCGUCCCUCCCGAAGGUGCGUGCUCGGUCGAAGAGGACGACCUUCCCCGAAUAGAGGAGGACCGGUCUUCCGUCAAGGGUGUACGAGUAGCUGCGCUCCCCUGCUAGAACCUCCAAACAAGCUCUCAGGAAUGCAUUUUUAAAACAGUGAUUCUUUGAGUAAAAUUUAGGUCUAAACAUGACUGGGUGUUGUGAAUUU
ensembl:misc_RNA 7SK 7SK RNA